rnacentral:rRNA from 1 species
AUUGAACGCUGGCGGCAUGCUUUACACAUGCAAGUCGGACGAGUGGCGGACGGGUGAGUAACAUAUGGGAACGUACCGAGUAAUGGGGGAUAACUAAUGGAAAGAUUAGCUAAUACCGCCUAUCAUUCGAUCGGCCGAUAUUGGAUUAGCUGGUUGGUGGGGUAAAGGCCUACCAAGGCGACGAUCAGUAGCGGGUCUGAGAGGAUGAUCUGCCACACGGGAACGGAGACACGGCCCAGACUCCUACGGGAGGCAGCAGUGGGGAAUUUUGGACAAGGGGCGCAAGCCUGAUCCAGCCAUGCCGCGUGUCUGAAGAAGGCCUUCGGGUUGUAAAGGACUUUUGGCAGGGAAGCGGUACCUGAAGAAUAAGCACCGGCUAACUACGUGCCAGCAGCCGCGGUAAUAC